UACGGAGGGUGCAAGCGUUAUCCGGAUUCACUGGGUUUAAAGGGCGCGUAGGCGGGCUGCCAAGUUUGGGGUGAAAUCCUCCGGCUCAACCGGGGAAGUGCCUUGAAUACUGGCGGUCUGGAGGGAGGUAGGGGCGUGCGGAACUGUAGGUGGAGCGGUGAAAUGCGUUGAUAUCUACAGGAACUCCGGUGGCGAAGGCGGCACGCUGGACCUUACCUGACGCUGAGGAGCGAAAGCGUGGGGAGCGAACAGG
rnacentral:rRNA from 1 species